ACAGAGAAGAGACCAGGGCGCUAAUCAGCUUCUCCUAGACUUCCUUCCCACUCUAGCACCUCUGGGGGGAGGUCUAGCUCCUCACUUCCUUGACAUGGUCAGAAUGGAUAGAGGAGCUACCUUUGCAAUCUUGCUCCUGGCUCUGCAGUUGGUUCUGUUGCCUGCUAUGACCAGAGGAAAGGAGUUGAUACUGGGCGAGGCUGGGGGUAUUGCCGAAUUGCCUUGUAAGGCUUCAAAGAAAGAAAACAUGGACUUUACCUGGAAACAACCGGACCAACUUGUGCUUCUCAAGGGUUUCAGAAAAAGUUCACCAUCGAAGAUGAUAGGUAAG